GAGUUUGAUCCUGGCUCAGGAUGAACGCUGGCGGCGUGCCUAAUACAUGCAAGUCGAACGAAACUUCUUUAUCACCGAGUGCUUGCACUCACCGAUAAAGAGUUGAGUGGCGAACGGGUGAGUAACACGUGGGCAACCUGCCCAAAAGAGGGGGAUAACACUUGGAAACAGGUGCUAAUACCGCAUAACCAUAGUUACCGCAUGGUAACUAUGUAAAAGGUGGCUAUGCUACCGCUUUUGGAUGGGCCCGCGGCGCAUUAGCUAGUUGGUGGGGUAAAGGCUUACCAAGGCAAUGAUGCGUAGCCGAACUGAGAGGUUGAUCGGCCACAUUGGGACUGAGACACGGCCCAAACUCCUACGGGAGGCAGCAGUAGGGAAUCUUCCACAAUGGGCGAAAGCCUGAUGGAGCAACGCCGCGUGGGUGAAGAAGGUCUUCGGAUCGUAAAACCCUGUUGUUAGAGAAGAAAGUGCGUGAGAGUAACUGUUCACGUUUCGACGGUAUCUAACCAGAAAGCCACGGCUAACUACGUGCCAGCAGCCGCGGUAAUACGUAGGUGGCAAGCGUUAUCCGGAUUUAUUGGGCGUAAAGGGAACGCAGGCGGUCUUUUAAGUCUGAUGUGAAAGCCUUCGGCUUAACCGGAGUAGUGCAUUGGAAACUGGGAGACUUGAGUGCAGAAGAGGAGAGUGGAACUCCAUGUGUAGCGGU
rnacentral:rRNA from 1 species